CAGUAGCCGCGGUAAGACAGAGGAUGCAAGCGUUAUCCGGAAUGAUUGGGCGUAAAGAGCUCGUAGGCGGUUUGUCGCGUCUGCUGUGAAAACUGGAGGCUCAACCUCCAGCCUGCAGUGGGUACGGGCAGACUAGAGUGCGGUAGGGGAGAUUGGAAUUCCUGGUGUAGCGGUGGAAUGCGCAGAUAUCAGGAGGAACACCGAUGGCGAAGGCAGAUCUCUGGGCCGUGACUGACGCAGAGGAGCGAAAGCGUGGGGAGCGAACAGGAUUAGAGACCCCCGUAGUCCCUGUCUCUUAUAC
rnacentral:rRNA from 1 species